AAGGCAAACAAAAAAGGGAUCUGCCUCGAAUCAAAACGAUUUCUCCUUUCUUUUCUACGCUACGAGAUUUCUUCUCUUAUGAAAUUUCGAGUUUGAUCGAGGGAACCCUCGGCUAAAGCUCUUUCUCUUGCUUGACUUGACUAAGCCUACGUCUCGUUAGUGUAGUUUUGUCCAUGGGGCAGGAGUCUGUUUCACACCCUCCGUUAGCUCCUAAAUCAAGUGUAGUUCCGUCAGUUAUGCCUAAAUAUGGCUACUCGCUAAUGUAGGCUUUCAUUGACGUUUCCUACUUCUAUCUAUAACCGUCAAAGCCUACUGGGGCCGGCCCUUAAGUUGAAAUAUCGUAAGAGAUAUAUUAGGUAAGUCACGAUAACUGAACACAGGCUCAAUCUUUCGACGAUUGAAUGAAAUGAAAGAUUGAAUUAAAGAAGCAUGCCAUCACAAAAAAAG
rnacentral:lncRNA from 1 species